AUGCGUGUGUUCGGACUCGCUGCCAUCGAGAGGGCACGGUGGAGACAGGCCUCGCACGUCACCUGGUUGCACGCGGGCGAUGCAAAGCUAGCAUUCUUCCAGGCAAAGAUCAACUCGCAGCGUCAAAAAAACUUCACCCAUGCCCUGCACACCCAAGACUCCGUCGCCACUUCCCACGGCGACAAAGAACGGAUCAUCCAUGAGCACUUCCGAUCCACGCUGGGAUCGACAUCGCCGCAUACCCAUUCCAUCAACUGGGAGUCCAUCCAGCUGCUGUCCCUGCCGACAGUCGGCCUCGACAACCCAUUCACCAAGGACGAGGUGUGGGCUGCGAUCUGCAAGUACCUGCAGGAGAAGGCACCGGGCCCGGACGGCUUCAAUGGCACCUUCUUCCGCUCGUGUUGGUCCAUCAUCAAGACCGAUGUCAUGGCAGCCUUCCACCAAUUCUACAACCUCUCCGGUGGUGAUUUGUCGAUGAUUAACAACGCCAUGAUCAUCCUCCUGCCAAAGAAAGAUGGGGCAACGGAGAUCUCCCAUUUCCGACCAAUCAGUUUGAACCACUCGGUAGCCAAGCUAAUCUCCAAAGUUCAUCCAUUAGACUAG
rnacentral:rRNA from 1 species